GACACAUUCACCUACUUGUUGACUAAAAGUUUCUUUACUGGAUAGAGUGUGAUUCUAGGCUUUGCAUUUGUUCAAUUUGCAUAUUACUUUGAGCAGCCUGGUAUUUUUCCAUUUUAACAAUUUCUUCAUGUUUUCUUUCAGUUACCUUCAGGUUUCAGCAAACAAGAUAAACUUGUGUGGGGGGAAAUGUGCAUCUGCAGUUAAUAAACAAAAAGUGCCAUAGAACUCCACUGACAAAGGGAUUCUGGGAGUUAUAUGUGCACAUUGAAGUGCUGAUGUUUGCCUGAGUCUAAUAUGGUACAAAUAACUCCCUGUGUAGACAGCAAAGAACUUUUAACAUAACAGAGAUGCUGUGUACUCUUGGCCUUCAUCAACAUAUAUGUCCUUAAGCUGCUAUAAGAAGUGUAUUAAGGAGCUGAAGAAAAUCCAUUCACAUUCUGCUGUGUUGCUUUCUUCUGAAGUCAUGAACCCAUCACAGACUGUUUCUAGCUGUAGGUUGCACAGUGAAGAUUUACAAUGCCAGUUAUUCAUACAUCUGCCUUCUCUCUCUCCUCCCUUCACUCCCCCCUUAUUCUUUAAUCCCUAGGGUGAGGGCAACCUUGAUACUGAGGCUCAUAAAAUUCAUGCAGGCUUAUCAUCCUUGGUGAAGGCUUCAGGCACUCAUUACUGCAUCCAACUGCCUGCUCACUGCCAUGACAGAACUAGGCCUAUGGCUUAUAUUUUUAACAACAAAACAUACCAAUUUGCUAACAGAAAAAAAAGCUAAAAGCUUCAGAAAAUGAUGUGUUUAUAAUGAUCAAUCUUUUUAAUUACUUUUGGAAUAAUCCUGAUACAGUAUGUGUUUUCCCAAAGUAUAUUAAAAAAUUAGGUUUAAAAAAAAGAUUGAAAAAAAUAAUGAAAUGUGAAUGAAUUGUCAUAUCUGUUGAGAAACCCACUGGAAAUGGCAGAAUACUAGUAAAAGAGUGGGUGAGAGACUCUGACACUACCUGGAUAAACAAUUUAAGAUGACUGAAGAAAGUGAUUAAUUAAACAAAUUGACAAAUAAAGUCAUUCGCUAGGGAACAAGGUUUGAUUUCUUCACUUCGUCUGUGUGUUUAUUGUAAUUAUUAUGAUGUUUAACUAUUACUUUUAAUAUGUCUUGAUUUAUUGAUUGCACUGUCUUACAGUGAUUUGUGAAUUCUACAGCAGUUACAUGUCUUAUAUUUAAGUUAUUAUAUAUAAGUAAAGUAAUUUCACCAGAUGGUAGGUUACAGACAAAAUGAGAACAGAAAACUUAUAAAGGAGCCUAUAAGCUCCCAAGCAGGGCUAGUGGUGAAUUAACUAUUUGUUAUUUUUUUUAAAAAGCAAGAGCUUAAUCUGAAAAACAAUAUGUAUCUAUAACAGGUAUGGAAUAUGUUAUCUGGAAACCCUUUAUCCAGAAAGCUCCAAAUUAGGG